rnacentral:rRNA from 1 species
GCGUGCGCAGGCGGCUUUGCAAGACAGAGGUGAAAUACCCGGGCUCAACCUGGAACUGCCUUUGUGACUGCAAGGCUAGAGUACGGCAGAGGGGAGUGGAAUUCCGCGUGUAGCAGUGAAAUGCGUAGAUAUGCGGAGGAACACCGAUGGCGAAGGCAAUCCCUGGGCCUGUACUGACGCUCAUGCACGAAAGCGUGGGGAGCAAACAGGAUUAGAUACCCUGGUAG